UGGUGAUUUCUUGGUGAUCUGAUGGAUUUCUUGGUGAUUUCUUGGAGAUCUGAUGGAUAGCUUGGUGAUCUGCAGUUUUUCGGCGAGGGGUCGUGGUCAAGGCUGUAAUGCUAUCAGCUAGCUAACCUCCACCAUCUUACAGGAGACAUGGACAGCCAAUUGCGGGAUCACGGCUCCUGGCCCGGCGAGUCUGCACCGAUGUCGAUGCAGCCGGUGUCAUGGCAACCGUCAAAGGAUGGCGAGCGUCUGGUUGGUCGGAUUCUUCUGAACAAGAGGAUGAAGGACGGGUCGGUUCCUGCAGACUGUGGAGCGCUGCUCGGACUCAAGGUGGCCGCUUCUUCUUCUGCU